AGUCCGUGAUGUGGACAUCUCCUAAGAAACUCCUUGAAUCUUUACCAUGCUUUAUAUAAUGAUUUAUUAUCCAUCUGCGUAAAAUUAGAAAUAUCAUUUUGCAUUUU